GGGGAUGUAGCUCAGCUGGGAGAGCACGACGCUGGCAGUGUCGGGGUCAGGGGUUCGAUCCCCCUCAUCUCCA
rnacentral:tRNA from 2 species